rnacentral:rRNA from 1 species
AAUUUGAAAUCUGGCUCUUUCAGAGUCCGAGUUGUAAUUUGAAGAAGGUAUCUUUGGGUCUGGCUCUUGUCUAUGUUUCUUGGAACAGAACGUCACAGAGGGUGAGAAUCCCGUGCGAUGAGAUGAUCCAGGCCUAUGUAAAGUUCCUUCGAAGAGUCGAGUUGUUUGGGAAUGCAGCUCUAAGUGGGUGGUAAAUUCCAUCUAAAGCUAAAUAUUGGCGAGAGACCGAUAGCGAACAAGUACAGUGAUGGAAAGAUGAAAAGAACUUUGAAAAGAGAGUGAAAAAGUACGUGAAAUGUUGAAAGGGAAGGGCUUGAGAUCAGACUUGGUAUUUUGUAUGUUACUUCUUCGGGGGUGGCCUCUACAGUUUAUCGGGCUCAGCAUCAGUUUGGGCGGUAGGAGAAUUGCGUUGGAAUGUGGCACGCCUUCGGUUGUGUGUUAUAGCCUUCGUCGAUACUGCCAGCCUAGACUGAGGACUGCGGUUUAUACCUAGGAUGUUGG